CAAUAGCGUAUAUUAAAGUUGUUGCAGUUAAAAAGCUCGUAGUUGGAUUUCUGGUGGGAGCGAUCGGUCUGGCGCUUAGCGCGAGUACUUGCAUCGUCUCCGGCCAUCCUUGGGGAGAGUCUGUCUGGCAUUAGGUUGUCGGGCAGAGGAUCCUCAUCGUUUACUGUGAAAAAAUUAGAGUGUUCAAAGCAGGCUUAUGCCGUUGAAUAUAUUAGCAUGGAAUAAUAAGAUAGGACUUUGGUACUAUUUUGUUGGUUUGUGCACCAAAGUAAUGAUUAAUAGGGACAGUUGGGGGUAUUCGUAUUCCGUUGUCAGAGGUGAAAUUCUUGGAUUUACGGAAGACGAACUACUGCGAAAGCAUUUACCAAGGAUGUUUUCAUUAA
rnacentral:rRNA from 1 species